GACGAACGCUGGCGGCGUGCUUAACACAUGCAAGUCGAACGGGACAUUUUAUUUCGGUAAGAUGUCAAGUGGCGAACGGGUGAGUAACACGUGGGCAACCUGCCCUUCAGACGGGGACAACAUUCCGAAAGGAGUGCUAAUACCGGAUACGCCCGCACCUACGCAUGUAGGUGCGGGGAAAGGAUGGCCUCUAUUUAUAAGCUAUCGCUGAAGGAUGGGCCUGCGUCCGAUUAGCUAGUUGGUGAGGUAACGGCCCACCAAGGCGAUGAUCGGUAGCCGGUCUGAGAGGAUGAACGGCCACAUUGGGACUGAGACACGGCCCAGACUCCUACGGGAGGCAGCAGUGGGGAAUCUUCCACAAUGGACGAAAGUCUGAUGGAGCAACGCCGCGUGAGCGAUGAAGGAUUUCGGUCUGUAAAACUCUGUUGUUCAUGACGAACGUCUCUGAGGUGAAUAAUCUCAGGGAGUGACGGUAGUGAACGAGGAAGCCACGGCUAACUACG
rnacentral:rRNA from 1 species